rnacentral:rRNA from 1 species
UCGAACGGGCACUUCGGUGCUAGUGGCAGACGGGUGAGUAACACGUGGAAACGUACCUUUUGGUUCGGAAUAAUUCAGGGAAACUUGGACUAAUACCGGAUACGCCCUUCGGGGGAAAGAUUUAUCGCCGAAAGAUCGGCCCGCGUCUGAUUAGCUAGUUGGUGAGGUAAUGGCUCACCAAGGCGACGAUCAGUAGCUGGUCUGAGAGGAUGAUCAGCCACACUGGGACUGAGACACGGCCCAGACUCCUACGGGAGGCAGCAGUGGGGAAUAUUGGACAAUGGGCGCAAGCCUGAUCCAGCCAUGCCGCGUGAGUGAUGAAGGCCUUAGGGUUGUAAAGCUCUUUUGUCCGGGAAGAUAAUGACUGUACCGGAAGAAUAAGCCCCGGCUAACUUCGUGCCAGCAGCCGCGGUAAUACGAAGGGGGCUAGCGUUG